rnacentral:rRNA from 1 species
GACGAACGCUGGCGGCGUGCUUAACACAUGCAAGUCGAACGGUAAGGCCCUUUCGGGGGUUCGCGAGUGGCGCACGGGUGAGUAACACGCGAGUAACCUGCCCUCAACUUUGGGAUAACGGUAGGAAAAUGGGCCCAAUUAUGGAAAUGGGCUUCUGCUGCAUGGUGGGGGUUGGAAAGCUCCGGCGGCAGUGGAUGGGCUCGCGGCGUAUUAGCUUGUUGGUGGGGUAGUGGCCUACCAAGGCGACGACGGGUAGCCGGCCUGAGAGGCUGACCGGCCACACUGGGACCUACGGGAGGCCCCAGUGCCGACGGUAGGCCGCAGGGCGGAAUCUUGCACAAUGGGCGCCAGCCUGAUGCAGCAGGUCCGCGGGUGGGAAGACGGCUUUCGGGUUGAAAAACGGUUUCAGCAGGGACGAAUCCUUUUGUGACGGUACCUACAGAAGAAGCACCGGCUAACUACGUG